rnacentral:rRNA from 1 species
AUUGAACGCUGGCGGCAGGCCUAACACAUGCAAGUCGAGCGGAUGAAGGGAGCUUGCUCCUGGAUUCAGCGGCGGACGGGUGAGUAAUGCCUAGGAAUCUGCCUGGUAGUGGGGGAUAACGUCCGGAAACGGGCGCUAAUACCGCAUACGUCCUGAGGGAGAAAGUGGGGGAUCUUCGGACCUCACGCUAUCAGAUGAGCCUAGGUCGGAUUAGCUAGUUGGUGGGGUAAAGGCCUACCAAGGCGACGAUCCGUAACUGGUCUGAGAGGAUGAUCAGUCACACUGGAACUGAGACACUGUCCUGACUCCUACGGGAGGCAGAAGUGGGGAAUAUUGGAAAAUGGGCGAAAGCCUGAUCCAGCCAUGCCGCGUGUGUGAAGAAGGUCUUCGGAUUGUAAAGCACUUUAAGUUGGGAGGAAGGGCAGUAAGCUAAUACCUUGCUGUUUUGACGUUACCAACAGAAUAAGCACCGGCUAACUUCGUG